GGGCGAGUUUGCUUCUGGUUCAUG
rnacentral:miRNA from 12 species